rnacentral:lncRNA from 1 species
AUUUCAAGCUCUUCUGUGUCUAGAGGAAGAGCUACCCCGUGACCGGCUUAGAGAACUGGAAGAGGCCGCAACCUUUCUCCUGCUUGAAGCUGGAGGAUGGAUGGAGUCUGGAGCCCUGGAGCGUGGGACACUGUUUCGCUGUGGUUGGUGGUGGCGACAGAGCAGUAGGAGAGCGCCCGGCAGCGGGAGCUUCUCCUGCUGGGCUGGAGGACUAGGAGAAGGAAGAGGCACUGCCACAUGCUGGAGGCUGGAACCUGUGCCACCGUGGCUGGCCUGGCUCUGGUUGGUUCGCCUCGCUGUGGUUGGUGGUGACGUCGGAGACUGCAGCUCGGUCACAGUGGUAGAAAUGUGAUGGGGUAGGUGAGUUUCCCGGGGCUGCCCUGCACGCCUCUGGGGGCAAGGGUUGGGUGUCCUACUGGGGCUCACUGCUAGAGGCUACCCUGCCUGUGGCAGUGGUCUGGUUGGGGGCACUCUCCGGGGUGGCAUUGCUGGUGGUGGGGCAGGUUGGCUGGCUAUCUGGGGCUAUACUGCCUGCGGUGGCAGGGGUGGUCGGGGAAAGCAGAUUGUGUACACUAGCGUAUACUGCCGGUGGCUGGGGAAGGAUUAGGGGCGCUAUCUUCUGCUGCACUGCCAGCGGCAGGGGGUGGGUUGGGUGGAGUUAUCCAGGGCUACAAUGCUGGCAGUCGGGGGUGGUUUAGGGACGUUGUUGGAUGCUGCACUGCCUGGGGCGUUGUUGGGUGCUGACUCGGGGUGGUGCGCCAUCAAGAGCUGAACUGUCCGUGGCGGGGUGGGAGGAGGUGGGUUUGGGAUGGUAUCUAGUGCAGCAACUCCCGUGGCUGGGUCAGAUUUGGGGCACUGUUGGGUGGUACACUCCCUGCAGUGUGGGGGGAGUGCUUUGGGGGAGGUAUUGGGGUUACAUUGCCUGAAACUAGGGUGUGUUGGAUGUGCUAUCCGGGGGCUACACUGCUAGUGGCAGGGGUCAGAUUAGGGGUGCUGUGGGGGCUACACUGCCAGCGGUGUUGGCGAGCUGAGGUGGCGGCAGCGGCAGCGACAGUAGUGGCCGCCUCUUUCCUUCUGGUGGUCUCCAGGUAAGGGAUCGUUCUUCUAUUCCCGGACUCCAGACUCUAGAAGGCGAUCUUCUCCUGCUCGUGCUAGAUUGCACGGCAGGGCUCCCACACCCACUGUGGUUUCCCGGCACGCCCUCAUGCUCUGUGUUGCGGAGACCACCUGGGACUACCAGGCAGGGAGUAAUAGGCACCCACGGGGGAAGCAGGGGACAGGGCACUGUGGGUGGAGGCGUCAGGAAUGGGAACCAGCCCUUGGGUGGGGAGGGCUGGCUGGUUCUGAGUUUCUCCUACUCGGGCUCCCUGAGGAGGGCAGCCCUGGUGGGCCCAGCAAUUCCUGGUCAGCUGGAGUUGGCCAGGGGCCGGUUUCAGUGAAGGCAUUCACUCCCACCCCAGACCCCAGUUCCUGGCCAGCUUUUGCCAGAAGGAGAGGCUGGACUUUGGAAGGUGGAUGUGAGUGCCUUCAAUGAAACUGAUGCCUGCCACCCAGUCACCAGCGUGACAAGGUGAGGCUCUAACGGUUCCACUGUCUGAAUCCUGAUUUGGGCUUUUCUGGCUUUGCCUGCCCAGCUACUCCAAGCCAGGCUGAAGGAGGAGAAGGCGAGGAGUCGCCUGUGGUAGGGUCGAGCCUGCAGAUGACGUGGUUCUGCAGCUUGCCUCAUGCGGUUGGUGGUGGCGAUGGAGACCACAGAUCGACCGGAGCGGGAGGAGGGCACCCACGGGGGCCAGGUGGUAGGAGCUGGUAGGGUGGGCUGGUACAUUGAGGGCGACAGUGGUUGUAUUGGCAUUGGCGCUAGUGGUGGUAGCAGUAGGAAGUCUGGGGGCCGGGAAGGGGGAAUAGGAGCACUGCAGGGCCCAUCCCACUCUGGGGUGGGGAGGAACCUGUGGGUGCUGUAACACAGGCUUCGGUGGCAGUGGUGGUGAUAUACCUAGGGCAA